CAAGAGAUCCAUACACAAGCAUGCAAUUUUCCAUUCAAUCACAGUACAUUCUUGAUUCUGCCAUAUCCAUUUUUCAAACCCGAGCAAAAUCAAGCUUUUCGUCAUGUUUAAAAAGCAAACAAAAUGAGAAACAAAAAGAAAAAGAAAAUAGAAAAGACAUUAGAGGGAAAGAGAGAGGCAACUCGGCAACCACGAGAGGUGGUGAUGCCAGUGAGAAGCGCUGCCAGCAGCGGUGGCGAAGGUGGAAGCAGAAGCUCGACUGGGCUUGAGAGAGAGACUCGGUGGUUGUUGGCUGCAACCAUGGAGAUUAGGCAACGAAGAGAAAAGGGAUUUGACCACAAAUUUUUCCGGUUGAAGAGAGAUAUAAUCAUAUAAUUCUCUCUGUGUUUGGUUUUUGAGAAAAAAAGAAGAAAAGAAAGGUGCAUUUUUGUUACAUUCAUCAAUCAUCACGGAAUCAGUGAGUCUCUGAAGCACAGAGUCUGUGGACUUUGUUUGGUUCCCCAGAAAAAAAAGCCAGUUUUCUAUCAAAGGAUUCAUUUUCAACGUUGAGCAUUAAAUUUGAAAAUUUAUGAUCUUGGAGUGCUUCGUUGAUCAUAACAAUUGAUAAGGUUCUUGAAAAUCAUGGUUUUCAACCUAUGGGGCUUGUCAUAACAACCAGGUUUACAAAACCUCAGCAGUCAAGUUUACCUUUUGAUUUUGUAUAACUGUUGUUUCAGAUUGAACUAUUGAAGCAAUCUGGAUGGCAGUGCGACUUUUACUUUGGUUAUGGAUAUGAUGUGAUAGAUGAAGAUGCUUUGAAUGAGAAAUCUUGUGUACGAAUGUUGGGGAUUUUGAUCACUAAGGCAGAUGGUGACAUUCAUGAACUUGAACAAGUAUCCCUUCAAGGUGAAUUAGCCGGGGGAGAAGAUUACGAAUGUUCUGAAUUACGCUGUAAUGCUUUGACAGAAAAGAUUAAUUACCUUUACAUUUCAAUAUGGAGUUUGAAAAAAUACCAAUGAGAAUGAUGUUGAGGUUCAGUUGCUAAUGCAUAGAGGACCUGCUGAGGGAGUACAUGAAGUAGUGAAGGCUCUACUCAGAUAUUGUUUCCAAAAUAAAGCCUGCAGAAAUUGCAAUAAAAGAUUCAAGUAAAAAUGUUUUGCCAAUUGCGCCCAACAAGAGGGAAAUGUUGAGCGACUCCAAUUUGAAAAUCACUGGUGAGAAGGUUGAAGAACACAAUUCCAUACCUACAGCAGAUGAGAAAAUUUUAGGCUCAUCAUCCAUUCCUGAAAAAAAGAAGAACAGAUAGUGAUGAAAAGCCUGUAGAGAUUGCAAUAGAAAAUUCAAGUGUUUUGCCAUAUGAAAUUGGCCACUCUGACAAGGAAAUGUUGAGGGACUCCAUUUUGAAAAUCAUAAGUGAGGAGGUCGAAGGACACAAUUCCAGUCCUACAGCAGAUGAUAUUAUUUUAGGCACAUCAUCCAAGCCUGACAAAAAGGGAAUCAUGGUGAAAAGGUC